rnacentral:lncRNA from 1 species
UCUGCCUCCAGACAGGCCACUCCUUGGGCUUCCAUUUGCACAUCUUAUCCCUUUGAUGAUAGAACAUGCCCUACCUGCCCGCAGGUUUGACAAGGCAAACAUUUGGUUCCAUUUAUUGGGGUAGCUCAGGGCCACUGCUUCGUAGGUGUGAUUUCACUCAGUCCUUCACACAAACCGUGAGGUUGACCUCAUGUUCAUCCCCACAACACAGAUGAGAAAACCAAGGGUUAGAGGACAGGCAGUGAGGGGCAGGCAAAGCCAGGGGUCAGAUCUGUUCUGGCUUCAGAGCCUCGACUCUGUCUCACAAAUAGAAUAUUUUCUUCUAAAAGUCAUAGCACUGUCUUUGGGGUGGGGUGGGGCCAUGGAUUUUCUUGUUGAAAAAGAUCCAGAGCUCUCAUAUGGAAAUGGGUCCACAGGGGCAAGGAGCCUGGCCAGGACUGGAACACUGAUGGAUGGAUACUUUUGGAAGGUGCUGGGAAUGGGCACGCUGUCAAAGUCACUGGCCACUGCUCUCACCUGUACAUGGUAUUGAGUACUGGUCCACGUACUCAGCCAGUUCCUUCACAAGUCUGCGAGAGUGGGCACAUGCCUGAAGAAUGAGGAUGGGGCGGGGAGGGUGAGGAGGGAAAAUGGGGGCAUAAUGCAGGGUCCUACCUGGGGGACUGGAUAUUGAUUGGGAGCUUCCUGGACAAGUGAGGCAGGUAAGACUAGGUGAGGGCUGGUGAAGACAGAUGAGGCUAGGUGAGACUAGGUGGGGGCAGGUGAGAGCAGUGAGACUGGGUGAGGGCAGCUGAGGGCAUAUGAGGCUAGGUGAGACUGGGUGAGGGCAGGUGGGGCAGGUGAGAGCAGAUGAGACUGGGUGAGGGCAGAUGAGGCUAGGUGAGACUAGCUGAG